CGAACAUAUGCAAAAGUCCUCAAAAGCAAAACAGUGAUUUGCACAAAGCUAGCAGCUUGUUACUGGUAGCUUGUUCCUUAUUCUCAGAAUAAGAUUCCAAUUGCAAAGACUAUCUAGGAAUCAACAUCAGUAGCGUUUGCGUUUCUGAAGGUUACAGCAGUAAGCCACGUCUGCGUCACUCCUGACGUCCACCACUAGAUGGCAGAAUCCCUCUGUCUUCAAACACGAUGCACCACUUUGCUGUCAGUCACUACCCACUUCUCAACAAAUACGUAUCACAUCCCACAUUCAAUAAAUCUGUUUGUGAUUUUCAGGUCCAUCUCCAGGGACACGAAUCUGAAGCAGAUAUCCCACACAUCUCGGUGAAUCAGCCGAGAAUCCAUCUGGAAAAUCUGUUCUGCGUGUGUAACAGAGGGAGAUGAAGCACUACCAUCUACGCUGCUGAGUCACCUAAAGUGUUAUAAUGACACGUUCAACCAUGAAUAUACGAAGAAUUGCAAUGAAAUAAAGUCAACAACAAAUUAAGGUGUGGCAUCCAAAAACCAAACACAGAUAGUCCAAUGCAUUAUCUGAGCAGAGG